rnacentral:rRNA from 1 species
CCUACGGGUGGCAGCAGUGGGGAAUCUUGGACAAUGGGCGAAAGCCUGAUCCAGCCAUGCCGCGUGUGUGAAGAAGGCCUUCGGGUUGUAAAGCACUUUCAGUGGGGAAGAAAGCCUUGGGGCUAAUACCCUCGAGGAAGGACAUCACCCACAGAAGAAGCACCGGCUAACUCCGUGCCAGCAGCCGCGGUAAUACGGAGGGGGCGAGCGUUAAUCGGAAUUACUGGGCGUAAAGCGCGCGUAGGCGGUCUGAUAAGCCGGUUGUGAAAGCCCCGGGCUCAACCUGGGAACGGCAUCCGGAACUGGCAGGCUAGAGUGCAGGAGAGGAAGGUAGAAUUCCCGGUGUAGCGGUGAAAUGCGUAGAGAUCGGGAGGAAUACCAGUGGCGAAGGCGGCCUUCUGGACUGACACUGACGCUGAGGUGCGAAAGCGUGGGUAGCAAACAGGAUUAGAUACCCCGGUAGUC